rnacentral:rRNA from 1 species
CGACCUGGAGCAAGUCCUGAACCCGCUAUUGCCGCGUGAAGGGAUUAAAGGCCCUCUGGAUUGUAAACUUCUUUUAUCUGGGACGAAAAAAGGUCUUUCUAGAUAACAUGACCGUGCUAAAUGAAUAACCACCGGCUAACUCCGUGCCAGGGCCGCGGUAAUACCGAAGGUGCAGGCGUUAUCCGGAUUCACUGGGUUUAAAGGGUGCGUAUGCGGGCCCUUGAUCAGUGGUGAAAUCCUGGAUCUCAACUCCAUAACUGCCAUUGAUACUAUCUGUCUUGAAAUUGUGGAGGUGGGUGAAAUAUGUCAUGUUUGGGUGAAAUGCUUAUAUAUAACAUAGAACACCCAUUGGUUUCUGACUUACUACUCAUAUAUUGACGCUGAAGCCCGAAU